GGCAACUUGGCCGAGCUGGUUAUGGCGUCAGGUUAAGGUCCUGAUGGGAGUAAUCCCGCGUGGGUUCAAGUCCCACAGUUGUCA
rnacentral:tRNA from 1 species